UACGGAGGGUGCAAGCGUUAUCCGGAUUCACUGGGUUUAAAGGGUGCGUAGGUGGGCUGGUAAGUCAGUGGUGAAAUCUCCAGGCUUAACUUGGAAACUGCCAUUGAUACUAUCAGUCUUGAAUACCGUGGAGGUCAGCGGAAUAUGUCAUGUAGCGGUGAAAUGCUUAGAUAUGACAUAGAACACCAAUUGCGAAGGCAGCUCGCUACACGAAUAUUGACUCUGAGGCACGAAAGCGUGGGGAUCAAACAGG
rnacentral:rRNA from 1 species